UUCUUUAAAUUGAGAACAAUAGCUUAAUCUAAAUGAAAAUCAUAACUGAUCACUUAGUUGUGCUAUGUUUUGACUAGGAGACACGUUAAAAUUAAUAUUGACGGCUCAUUCAUUUCUUUGCAUUACACGGAGACCAUUUCCUGAGGGCAACAUACUGUCAUACGCACAUCUAAGCAGUGAUGUGAUCCAGGGUAAUUCGAACGGAUGCUCGAUACCAAACGAAGAGACGCGAACACCAAUUGACAAUCGAACUAAAGAUGAUGAUAACCGACAACACCUUGAAUCUACCAUCGCCAUUGACGAACACAAUAAUACGGAAAGUAUUGUCGAUGAUCUGCUUUACAACAGCGUCAUAGAUGGGGCCAGGCAUCCAGUUGACGAUGGUGAAUCUAGCCACAAACAAGCGUGUGAGCCUGAUCUAGCCGCAAACCACUCCCAAGAACAUAUUUGCGCAUUCGCAAUAACUGAUGAACUUCUGUACACUGACGUCGUGGAACUGAAACCUCUGGCUGCUAACGUACUCUCUACAGAUGAGAACUUAGCUACAACUUUGUCCCCAAAGAAAAAUAAGGUCGGAAAAAAGUUUCAAUUUGAGGAUUUUAAUGCCUCUCGAUUAUCCGUGGAUGUAGGGAAUUCCGAC